UUUCCGUAGGUGAACCUGCGGAAGGAUCAUUACAGCAUAACCGUGGUGCGAGGGUUGACACUGACCCGAAAGGUCGUUCUCGCCCCCGUGCCCUCACACCCCUCCAUCACCCCUCUACGUUCACUACCGGGUGGCUCCCCCCUUGGCUUGUUCGGGGGGGGGCUGACGUUUUCACACGAACCUUGUUUGUAGUGCAGAAUGUAUUUUUUGUUUUUGCGAUCCCGCAAUCAAAACAACUUUCAAAACCGGAUCCUUUGGCUCUGGCUUCGAUGAAGAACG
rnacentral:misc_RNA from 1 species